rfam:Ancylostoma duodenale strain Zhejiang A_duodenale-1.0_Cont5801.1, whole genome shotgun sequence.
AUCUCUGUUUCUUUUGCAUUUAAGCGAGAAAAUCUUUCGCCUUUUACUAAAGAUUUCCGUUCAAAGGUGUAUUUUAUGAGUGUAGAAUAAUUUUUGGAAGCCCCUCGAAAGAGCGGGAU